rnacentral:lncRNA from 1 species
GGGGAGGGAGAGGAAUGAACUGGGAGUGUGGGGUUAGUAGAUGAAAAAUGUUACAUUUAUAAUGGUGAAACAACAAGAUCCUACUGUAUUGCACAGGGAACUAUAUUCAAUACCCUUUGAUAAACCAUAAUGGAAAAGAAUAUGAAAAAGAAUAUAUACAUAUAUGUAUAACAGAGUCACUGCUGUAUAGCAGAAAUUGGCACAACAUUGUAAGUCAUAUACUUUAAUUAAAAAAAUUAAAAAAAAAGAAAAUGUAGUUAUUUCUAUGGCAUGCAGUAAUUUAGAAUCAAUUUCCAUUAUGGUGCAGCAGGCUAAAGACCUGGCAUUGUCUCUGUGGUGGUGUGGGUUUGAUCCCAGUUCUGGUGCAUUGAGUUAAGGGUCUGGCAUUUGUGGUAGCAGUGAUUUGAUCCCUGGUCUUGGAACUUCCACAUGCCAUGGAUGCAGCCAUUAAAAAUAAUUUAGGUAAUUGGACAAGGAGAGUAUUGACAAAUUUCUAGAAACUUUAAACAAUUUCUACAAUACCUGUUUUAGGUAUAUAUAUACAUCCAUACGCAUGACCUCAGAAGACUUGUCAUCAUUUCUUAUAGGACAGUGCUUCCCAUAUAAUUUAACAUACCAAAUAAACAUAUUUAGUUUAACAUCUCUCUUUCACAUGGUGAGAGACAAAUCCUUUGUGAUUUUCCAGGGGCCCUCUGGGAAAUCUCAUGUACUUUGAGAUCAAAACAGCUCCAUUUAGAAUUUGAUUUGGAGAGUUAUCAUAAUGAAAAGUGUUUGAACAUUUGAUUAAAUAGGAUCUCAGAUCAUCAUGAAGUAUUAUUUAACCAAAGUACCAGUAGAAUAUUUUAAAGGCAAAUACAUAAGGUUACAUACUUGUGAAUAAAACUUAGCUUGUUUAAUAUCGAAGAGACUAGCUUUUCUUAAGUAAUCAGACUUUAAAAAGACAGUGUGAAGCACAGUAAAUUAUCUUGGUAAAGACGCAAAAUCUUUGCUUUCCAGAUUAUCCAAAAGAUUAAAAAAAAAAAUCUUUUACAGUUUUUAUGAAGAGCAGACCAAUAGUCCAAAAUAGCUUUGUUUUUGGACUUCCUGUGUGGCUCACAAAAUAGCUUUGUUCUUUUAACAAAGAGAGAAAACUAAAUUCUGAUUUUGUACUAGUGUACUUUUGAUCUUAAAACUAAUUCUUUAAAACUUAAAUAAAUUCAUUCCAGUUUUGGUCAGCUUGACUACAGACAGGAUUGUUUUUUCCAAGAUUCCUUUUCCACAAACCUUCUGAAACUUUAAAAAUAUUCAUUCAGGUUUUAACCUAUGUUUUUUUCCUCCUUUUUAUUCUGGUUGUUCUAUUUUUUAUUUUUUUUAAAAAUAUGUUUUUCAUACACAGUUGUUUACUUUCAGCUUUAUUAUUUCUAAGUAGUUUUAUUUACAUAUAUUGAUUAGAAUUCUUAACACUUAGAAUCGUUUAUUCCUCAUGAAAAAUAAGUAAGUGAUUGUGGACAGUCUGUUUCACUAGCAUUCUGUGGCUUGGCAAAUUUAUAAAUAUAUUUCACAAUUUCUGGAAGUAUAUUCUUCCUCAUAGUAACAUUUUCAAUGUGGAUUAAACAUGUUUACUAAGAGAUCAAAUAGAAAACUGAAGUGGAUAAACUUAUUGUUAAUGUUUUAGUAUUUUAUAUUAUUUGGAAAUGAUCUAGAUAUUCAUUGAAUAUCUAGACCAUUUAUUUAUGUCAGUAUAACUUUAAGGUUUCAAAUUGCCAAAAAAGGCUUUAGAAAAAUUUAAAGUAGAUGUAACAUAAAGUGUAAUUAUUAUUGAAAAGUUUAUUUGUAAACUUUUAUUUUACAUCUAUUUAAUUGAUUUGUUCUUAACAAUUAUGUUUAGAUUACUCAUAAAAAUUCACAAGACAUUAAAUAACUGUCCAUCAUCUUGAGUUAUCUUUCUUGCUGACAAAUUCUGUGACAGAGAUAACAUGAGCUUAUUUGACUGAUAGUAAACCUGAGUAGAAUAAAUUAUUAUAUUUAAUGCCAAUAACUCUAAAGACAUGCCUAUUUUAAUUAAAGUAACACUCUGGAACUACCUUUUAUUUACUGAAUAUUAUCCUAAAUCACAUGAACUUGAAAAAUAUUUGGGUUGGUUUCCAUCCUUCUGAGAGUAUACUUGCUUUAUAUAAAUGCUUGUUUGUCCUCAAGCCAAUUAAAUAGAACUCUUUACAAAAUUAAUUUUGGCAAUACCAUAUCUAGAGGCAUAUAGGGGUGCAACCCACACUUCUGUCCAGCCAUAUUUUUGGGGCCGCCUUUCUUGCCAAGUCAAGGUUUCAGGACACAAAAUGAGACAAACAAGGAGCCAAUAGCUGACCCUGGGAGAGAAAGGAUUGAUAACCGAUGCUUUUUCUGCCAAUCUGAAUUUGGAAAAAAAGGGACAGUUGUGAAAUUUUACCUUCCUUUUUUGACCAGGCACUUCAGAUAGAGAUCUGGGAAAGCUGACUUUGGUAAGAAUUCUUACCUUUUGCUGGGUUCUGCCAAUUUCCCCAGGUUCCCAUAUGCAAGCUCUGGAGCAAGUGGGUUUGUCUCAGGAGGUCUCAUUAUGGUUACCAGAAACUAUAGAGGAGGAAAAAUAAUUUUCUCUUUACUCUUUAUGAUGAGUCCUUGGCUGAGACCCCUUUUUCUCUGGGAUACCUCAUAAAUGGAUAAGCUUAUCUAGGUUAAAAACUGUCCAUUGUAGCCACUAUAACUCAAGAUUACUUUUUUAAAAAUUUUGUCUUUUUAGGGCUAGGGGUACAAUCAGAGCUGCAGCUGCUGGCCUAUACCAUAGCCACAGUGACACAGGAUCUGAGUUGUGUCUGUGACCUACACCACAGCUCCUGGCAAUGCCGGACCCCCAACCCACUGAGCAAGGCCUGGGAUCGAACCCACAUCCUCAUGGAUCCUAGUUUGGUUUGUUACUGUUGAGCCAUGACGGGAACUCCCAAGAUUACAUUUUGGUAAGGUUAACCUGUUUGUUAACAAAAUUUUAACACUCCAGCUUAAGUCAAUCCCAGUCUGAACUUGGACCUAGUUUGGUUGAACACUGUAAACCAGCUAU